ensembl:lncRNA
GAAUAUGCUGCAUGCUGAUGCCCUCCAGGAGGAGGAGGAGGAGUUUGCUGGUGUGGCACAACCUGUGAGGUGUGGACCAUGUGUGGGGGCUGCUCUUUGCUCUGGUGAGGCACUUCAGUCAUCUCUUCAGACUGCUCUGCAGCUCUGAGAGUGCUGUGUGAGAUGGCACCAGAAGCCUCCCUAAGCGAAGAUAUAUGAUAUUCAUUGCCUCUCCACAAGGCUUAUUGCCCUGUCAUAGGAGGAAAUAAGCACAGAGCCUGAGGCACUACUAUGCAAGACACUACAAGCGAAACAUCCAGACCGCUGCUCAGCUCCUGCUUUCACCUAGGACCCAGCAGGUGCCUUCUGCUGAUCGCCCUCUGUCAGACACGACCAGCAGGAAGCAGGCCUUCUGCCAGGGACGUGCCCUCUGCCAACCCCCCUCACACACCGCCUCCUAAUCAAAUCCAUCAGCCCCUCUCACCGAUCCUCCUCCCAUGCAGGCUCACAAACUGGAAUCCUUGUUAACAUUCACUCUGUUAAUGAGAAAUCCCCACCGGUUCAUCACCCAGCGGUACCAGCCUCCGCGCUCACGCUCUGACAUCUCUAUCACCGGCAAAGCGGCUACUGUGGGGCAUGGUGAGCUCGCACGGACUGGACCACAAGCAGAAGGAGGCACGUUUCCCAGCGCCAGGCCUGCACUUCAAUCUCCUUCCCCUAGAGCUGCUCUGCCUUCGGCAUCUUUUCCUCCCGCACAGAGCCUCGCGCCGGCUACGAUGCCUCAUUGGUUAGCUAACUGCUUCUGUCCUCCGGGAUUUCACACAUGCUGUUGAUAAAAGAGCCAGUGAAAAAUACAUCCAUUAAAUGCUUGGCCUCUGCUCGCUUGCUUCUUUCUCUGCAAAUCUUUUUUUUUUUUUUUUUUUUUUUUUUUUUUUUAACAGAAGAAAAAGAUGUUCUGUUCAGGAAUCUACCCAGGCUGGGGCAUUUCCAGAGCCCUGCCGUGGGUGCCGGCUCAGCUUUCGCAGCCACUGAGCUGAGCUCUGCAGGCUGCCCAGCUGGAGGGAAAAGGCAAACCCCUGUACAGCAGGUCGCUGCCAUGCCUGACCGGAGUGGGAAACCUCACAGGACUGCGUGUGGCUCGAGCUUCAUUCGUUCCCUGAUACGUCUUCAGAAAAUUUCAAGCAUGACAAUUAAGAUUCAUCCCAGUAAUUAUUUUCAUGACACCAUCACCUCCACUGGUCACUGACCUCCAAUUUAUUUUACAUCAGCUUCCAAGCAAGCAGCCAGUGGCAAUCCCUGCCUCUGAGGCUGAGAUGUGCUGGUGAUUUAGAUGGAACGGCUUUUAUGUCAUUACUGAGCUCCUGCCAUCAAGUCCUCUCCCACUCACUUCAUGUCGGCUGCUUAUCCAGACCCAUGACCCUGCCAAGCACAUUUUCUCCUCUCCCGCUCACUCUAAAACCAGCAGCCUUCUGUUCAGACAGGUACCACUCAUUCUAGAGUUAGUGCAUGUGACAACAUCUGCUGACUGCCUCUCCUUUUCCAUGCCUGACCUCUU